CACACACACACGGAGCAGCUCAACCACCAGCAGCAGUGGGCGAUGACUGCUUCAGAGGUACAGCAGUGGGCCUCACACACACACACACACACACACACACACACACACACACACACACACACACACACACACACACACACACAGGGAGCAGCUCAACCACCAGCAGCAGUGGGCGAUGACUGCUUCAGAGGUACAGCAGUGGGCCUCACACACACACACACACACACACACACACACACACACACACACACACACACACACACACACACACACACACACACACACGGAGCAGCUCCACCACCAGCAGCAGUGGGUGAUGACUGCUUCAGAGGUACAGCAGUGGGCCUCACACACACACACAUACAAGUAUCUGUGUCUGUGUUCAUUGUCUCUGUAAUUGCCAUCAUCAGAUCUACACAAAUAA
ensembl:lncRNA